rnacentral:rRNA from 1 species
CUACGGGGGGCACCAGCUACGAAAACUGUCCAAUGUGGGAAACCACGAGACGGGCAUUCCGAGUGCCAGCACUUUUGUGCUGGCUGUUCUCCCGCCUAAAAAGCGAGAGAAGUAAGGGCCGGGUAAGACGGGUGCCAGCCGCCGCGGUAAUACCCGCGGCCCGAGUGGUGCUCAUUAUUAUUGAGCUUAAAGCGUUCGUAGCCGGCCCUGUAAAUCCUUGGGUAGAUCGGACAGCUCAACUGUUCGAAUUCCGAGGAGACUGCAGGGCUCGGGACCGGGAGAGGUUCGAGGUACUCUCGGGGUAGGGGUAAAAUCCUGUAAUCCUGAGAGGACCACCAGUGGCGAAGGCGUCGAACUAGAACGGAUCCGACGGUGAGGGACGAAGCCCUGGGGCGCAAACGGGAUUAGAUACCCUGGUAGUC